CAGAGGGGGCAAGCGUUGUCCGGACUUACUGGGUGUAAAGCGCAUGCAGGUGGCUGUGCAAGUAUGCUGUGAAAGCCCCGUGCUUAACACGGGGAGGCCAGUAUAGACUGCACGGCUCGAGGACUGCAGAGGGUAGGGGAAUUGCUGGUGUAGUGGUGAAAUGCGUAGAGAUCAGCAGGAACACCAAGGCCGAAGGGACCUACCUGGGCAGUAUCUGACACUCAAGUGCGACAGCGUGGGGAGCGAACCGGAUUAGAUACCCGGGUAGUCCACGCCGUAAACGAUGGAUGCUCGGCGUUUGGGGGGGAAACCGUCCUGGGCGGCCUCAGCUGACGCGGAAGCAUCCCACCUGGGAACUACGAGCGCAAGCUUA
rnacentral:rRNA from 1 species